AUCAACAAAUCUGGAUACUAGUUAAUGUGAUGAGGACAGGUUUUAUUCGGUAAUACUAUUGCAACAGGAAACAGCUGCACUGUUUCCUGUUGAACUGAACUCAACUUCCCCAAAAGUAAAGCCGAUGACAUUUUAAAGUGGAGUGUGCUAAGGAAAAGAUACUGAGUGGUGUUAAGGAAGGUUAAUGUCACUAGACCCUCUGGAUUUGUUAAUUGGCCCUUAUCCAGAGGGGAGAGAAACUUCACCUCUCUAUAUGACAGAAGGAUAUGGUGAUAUAGUUGAAGUGAAGCAUCCAGCUAAGUUGGUCCUUAUGCUCCAUAUGAAAGAAAGAGCAAGAUUUAUCUCCCUGAAUGUUUGCAUUUCAAAGAAACAGCUCCCAAGUCCUUGAAGAAACAGUUCUGUGUGGUAGAUUUGCUUCUCAAAGGGCAGAGAAAGAAUUUAACGGUGCCAUGAACCCAGCAAUAAGUGAGGAAAAGGAAUCUUUCACCUCUGCAAAGGGAUACCAUGGAAUUUCUCAAACAGUGAAUAAAUUGGCUCCAGGAAGAAGUGUCGGCCUCCUAAACAGAAAUAGAGAAAUCGAGAACAAUAGCAAGGGGAGUACCUUGCAGUCAGUAAUAAGAAGCUGUCUUUACUAUCAAAUCAGGCCUCCAAUGGGAGUCUUUCCCUGUAGUGACUUUAACUGUCUCCCCAUAUUUAAUCACAAUCCUAUGAAAACAGUUAACUCUCUAAGUGGUCAAAGAAAUUUUUCAAUAAACAUAAACUUUAGUCUAA